rnacentral:rRNA from 1 species
GGCACAAGCGUGGAGCAUGUGGUUUAAUUCAAUGAUACGCGAGGAACCUUACCUGGGCUUAAAUGCUUAAUGACGUACUGGGAAACUGGUAUUUCUUCGGACAUUUUGCAAGGUGCUGCAUGGUUGUCGUCAGCUCGUGCCGUGAGGUGUCGGGUUAAGUCCCAUAACGAGCGCAACCCCUAUUGUUAGUUGCCGUCAGGUCAUGCCGGGACUCUAACAAAACUGCCCGCGUAAGCGUGGAGGAAGGUGGGGAUGACGUCAAAUCAGCACGGCCCUUACGUCCAGGGCUACACACGUGCUACAAUGGCCGGUACAGAGGGCAGCCACUUGGUGACAAGGAGCAAAUCUCAAAAGCCGGUCUCAGUUCGGAUCGGAGUCUGCAACUCGACUCCGUGAAGUUGGAUUCGCUAGUAAUCGUAGAUCAGCAAUGCUACGGUGAAUACGUUCCCGGGCCUU